UUAAAGUCAAUCUGUAAUUAGAUAAUUGGAAAUUUAGAAUUAAAGUCAACCUAUUGUCCACAUUCCGGACGUCGCGACCUCCGGAAUCGCGAUUCAAUUGGUGUGGUGUAAUGGAGAAGUAGAUCUUUCCAUCUCCACUCCCGUCCUUGAAGAUGUCAUACGACGGUGGCUCUAGUGGAAAAAGACGUCAUGCUACCCAUCUCUUCCUCCUCUUCCGCCCCCACCAGCUUCGAUUUGGGUCUGUGGUGGUGGAGGUGUGGAAUGUAACUAGCUAUGGAGGAGGGGGCUGGGACAAUAUGUGUGGGCCGAUGAGCUGUCUUUGUUUUCUUCUCUCUACUAUUCCUUUCUCUCUCUCUACAGGGGUGGAAAGCUCAGGAAAACGACGAGGUUGGGGCCAAGAGGGAAAAAAAGAAAAGAGGAAGGAAAACUGUGAUGGUGAGAUGUCAUUCUCCGUCAGUGAAUUUACGACCACCGAUGGUGAGAAAUAGAAUAUAGAUAAGUUGUUGGUGGUUGCCAUGGUGACUUCCGGAAUUUUAAAUCCGGAGAUCGAGCUACGUGACGGUGGUGAGUAUGGAGGUGCCGCAUGGAAUUUGUCACCGUCUGUGAUCCUCGGCGUAUAUAAUUAUUAUCUUAUAUGAAUCAAAUUAUCCCAAAUUAUUAUUCUACAAAAUCACAAACUAUAUAGUUAUAUGUAUCUAGCAUUCUGACUUGUGUUUUUGUGUUAAAAGAUCGGGAAUGGAUUGUGUGACAAUCUACUGACAUGUGUUGUUAGUAUUGAGAAGUGAUCAAG
rnacentral:lncRNA from 1 species